rnacentral:lncRNA from 1 species
CCUCCCCAGAGCUCAGGUCCCUUCCCUUUUUCCCUGGAAGAUCCUGUCUUUCCCCUUUUUUCCAUUGGAGCUGAGAUUACUCGGAACUCUAGCAGACAGACAUGUGCUUGCAGCUCUCAGGGAUCUAGGAGCCUGAGGGAAUGGGCCCUGGGAGCCUUGGACCUCCUCCUCAGGUUUGGGAUCAGAAGUUUCUGCUAGAAGGGAGCCUCACAGGACAGGAGAUGGGAGGAAGGGCCUUUGCCUCUCUCUCAGAAGAAGUUGUCCAAAUAGUGGGGCACAUUCUGUUUUAGAUUACUUGCAUUACAAUCACUAGUGGGUAAGUAUAGACAUAUAUAUUUGAACAAAAAAGGGUUGGAUUUCAACA